GGAUAUUUAGAGUCUGAGGAAGUUCAGAGUGACCAUGCUGCUGAUACUGACGGUUGUCCCCAAUCAGUUCAGGGUAUUAUGUUUAGUGGAACUCACAUUAAUUAUGGCUUCCUUAAACUGUUCAAAACCUUCCAUUUAGUAGAGAAUGUUAAUGAGACUGACAUACUAGUAGUUCCAGCAU
rnacentral:lncRNA from 1 species